AGAAGAUUAAUACUUUUGAGUUGAUGGCUGUCAUUUCAUUAAAUAUUUUAAAUAAAAAUGUCGUAAAUUUACAAAUCUAUCCAAAUUAAAUUAAAAUGGAGAUAAACCAGUGUGAAUGAUGGCCAAAAAAUAUAAAUAUGUGCAUUGAAUUUAGUUUGUAAGUGGUUAUUAUGUGUAAAUUAAAAAUGAAACUUUUUCACAGAGAGCUGCUGUAGGCCAAAUAUCAUUAUUCCCACAGACGUGAUAGCAGCAUUUCAUCUGGGUGGAAACUAAUUAUUGAGCAACACCACCAAUAUCUAAGCGGGAAGUUGAUCCUGACAUUGAGGACAACCCUGUUGUGCUCCUCUCUGUGGCAACAGAAAACUCCACUGGCACCAUCCAGUUAAACCCCAACAGCAUUUGUGUCGUGAUCAAAGGUGACUUUGUUGUGAGAAGUCUCCCCAGGUUGGCUGAUGCACUUCUUCUCUUGUUUGGCUUAACAUAUGCAUUACAUUUAGAUUAUCCAAAGAAACUUGUCUACACAUUUACCUUUGUUCAGAAAAUACUGCUGUGUCUUGAUGAUAACAGGCCACUCAAACCAUUCUAAAUUGGAAAAAUGAGUUGUUCAGCAAUGUUGAAGGCACCUGUGUGUAAAUGAGACUUCACUGUAUCUGUUCCUUCAAAGUUCAAUAUUGCACCAUGCCGUAAAUGUGUCUGGGAAAAGAGUUUCUUAAUGAAGCACAGUUUACCCUUUCAGUAGUUUCAGAGUUGUCCUCUGCUUUAUCUACCUCAAUAUUGAUGCAAUGUUUGUGGCUAAUUUUAGUUGAAUAAUUGGAUGUUAGCUUUGAUUCCACCACAAUGUCAUUUUUCUUUCUCCAUAGCUUGUAUAAUUUGUUGUUUAAUUUGUGUG